rnacentral:lncRNA from 1 species
CUAAAAACGCGGAAGAAUGAAAUGAGUUAUCAUAUAUAAGCCCUGACUUUUACUUCUGUACCUCUCACCAAGUAAUAGUGGUUUUCUAAUCAAAAUGCUAUGGAAAGAAGAAUCAUAAGAAUUAGAUAUUAGUUAAACUUAUCAGGGCAUACUUUUAUUGAAUGAAUGGGUUUUAGAUUAGACAAUGUUUUGCACAUUUUAGAGCCUGUAAGUUUUCUGAUGAUGAAAGUAAAAUGAACUUACAUGUUAAUAUGUAAAUUUUUCCUUUUCAUUAUUAUCCUAGAGUAACAGCAACAUGGAAGAAAGUCUGUCACAUAUGGAAUACUUUUUAACUAUUUAAUGCAGAUGAAAUGUAAUUUUUCAUCUCUCCAGCAACUUUGUCGUUUAUCUGAAAAUGACUUUUUUGACCUACUGAUGCUACUUAAUCAUUUCUACUACAGAAAAUCCUACCUAGAAGAGCUGGCAUUAACUUUGGAACAAAAGAGCCCUAAUGCACUCAAGACUCUCAGAUCUCGCACCUGCUCUCCAACUAAAGAAGAAAACCGAAGCGAAGCUAAUAUCCUGAAUUUUUGUAGCAAGAUAUUUUCAGAUUUCUUUAUGGAGGCUUAUUACAGUUUGCAAAUCAAUCUGAAAAAAUGCUCCAGGGAAAAAGGCUCCCUUUUUAAAAAUACAGUAAAAGCAUCAUAAAAUCAAUGGAGAGGGUAUGAGAACAUUCAUUUUCUGUGAUUCGAGUUUUUGUAUUUGGGCGGAAUGUGAUUCAGACCACCGUGCUGCAAAACAGAGGGAGCCGCUAAAUUUGUACGUGUUGGGCUGGGGAUUUAGCUCAGCGGCAAAAGCGCCUGCCUGGCAAGCGCAAGGUCAUGACUUCGGUUCCGGGUACCGGAGAAAAAC